rnacentral:rRNA from 1 species
CUUUAAGAUCAUGUCUUACCCCGAAAAACCUGAUCCCAUCUGAUCUCGGAAGCUAAGCAGGGUGGGUCUGGUUCGUACUUGGAUGGGAGACCACCUAGAAAGACCAAGUGCUGUAGGCA